GCAAUGGUUGGCUUAGAAUGACUAUCGAAAACUUUUGAGAGCCAAUGAGAUGCGCGCAUACAGACCACAGUGAACCACAGCUUCUUUAAGAGCGCAUUCAGAAAAGAUAUUUCCAGAUCAGUUUUAAAAUCAGUCUAUCUUCUCAAACGUUGUAUGAAGAACGUGGAAACCCAAAAGGAAAAAUUCCAGGAAGUAAAAGAAACGAAAACUGUGCCCUCUGAAUUCCAUUGAG